UCUCGAUUCGUCUAGUGGUUAGGAUACCUGCUUGUCAUCUAUCAAAAUAGAAAGCUCGCAGGUGGCCGGGGUUCAAUUCCCCGAUCGAGAG